rnacentral:rRNA from 1 species
GUCUAUGGCCAUACCACCCUGGACGCAUCCCAUCUCAUGUGAUCCCAGAAGCUAAGCAGGGUCAGAACUGAUUAGUGCUUGUAUGGGAGAAAAGUGAGAACUCGAACUAUAGUUA